AUUGAACGCUGGCGGCAGGCCUAACACAUGCAAGUCGAACGGUAAAAGGAAGCUUGUUGCUGCUUUGAGGGGGGGAGGGGGGAGUGUGGGUUAUGUAUGUGACAGGUCGUGGGGGAGGGGGAUAGGUACUGGGAACGAUAGCUACUUACGCAUAGCGUGGGAAGACGGGAGAGGUGGGGCUUCGAGGCUAUCACCAUCGGCUGGGUCCAGAUGGGAUUAGCUAGUAGGUGGGGUAACGGAUGACCUAGGCGACGAUCCGUAGCUGGUCUGAGAGGAUGAACAGCCACACUGGAACUGAGACACGGUCCAGACUCCUACGGGAGGCAGCAGUGGGGAAUAUUGGACAAUGGGCGCAAGCCUGAUGCAGCCAUGCCGCGUGUAUGAAGAAGGCCUUCGGGUUGUAAAGUACUUUAAGUGGGGAGGAAGGGCGGUAAGUUAAUACCUUGGCUUAUUGACGUUACCAGCAGAAGAAGCACCGGCUAACUCCGUG
rnacentral:rRNA from 1 species